UACAGAGGGUGCAAGCGUUGUUCGGAAUUAUUGGGCGUAAAGCGCGUGUAGGCGGCUUUGCAAGUCGGGUGUGAAAGCCCUCGGCUCAACCGAGGAAGUGCGCCCGAAACUGCAGAGCUUGAGUGCCGGAGAGGAUGGCGGAAUUCCCCAAGUAGAGGUGAAAUUCGUAGAUAUGGGGAGGAACACCGGUGGCGAAGGCGGCAUCCUGGACCGGUAUUGACGCUGAGGCGCGAAAGCCAGGGGAGCAAACGGG
rnacentral:rRNA from 1 species